rnacentral:rRNA from 1 species
GUACACGCUGUGAUUAGCAUAUCAAUAAGCGGAGGAAAAGAAACUAACAAGGAUUCCCUCAGUAACGGCGAGUGAAGCGGGAAGAGCUCAAAUUUGAAAUCUUGAAAGGUCACCUUUCACGAAUUGUAGUUUAAAGAAGUGUUUUCUGUUACGAUCGUAAUAUAAGUUCUUUGGAAUAGGACAUCACAGAGGGUGAGAAUCCCGUCUAUGAUUGCGAUUUGUAGCUUUGUGAUACACUUUCAAAGAGUCGGGUUGUUUGGGAAUGCAGCCCAAAACGGGAGGUAAAUUUCUUCUAAGGCUAAAUAUUGGCGAGAGACCGAUAGCGAACAAGUACCGUGAGGGAAAGAUGAAAAGAACUUUGAAAGAGAGUUAAAUAGUACGUGAAAUUGUCAAAAGGGAAGCGUUUAACACCAGUGUUGUUUUCUGAAAAUCAACCUCUGUUAGCUUUAUGCAUGUUUGUUUAGACCUAAUCAGCUAUCUUGCAUGUUCCUAUUGUUUGCAGUGGUGCACUUUUCAGUUUACAGGUCAACAUCAGUUUUUUUUACCGUAAAAAAGUUAAAGAAAGGUAGCUCAUGGCUCCGGUCGUGAGUGUUAUAGUCUUUUUCCUAUGCGGUAGGAGAGACUGAGGUCUGCAGUGUAGGCUAUUUGGCUAGAUACUCAGGUGCUAUGUGAUACCAUUUCAUAAACAACUUGUUGAUUAUGUUUUGUCUAUUGCAUACUCGCUUGUACUAUCAUACCUACGCUUAGGAUGUUGACGCAUGAGAUAUACGC